UUUGUUUGAUUUAUCAGACAAUGAACUCGGUUCAUUCCGGCUGGAAGUGGUGUUUUGCCUUCUGUGGGUGGUGCCUCUAAUCUCAGUUCACCUUUUAAAGCCUUUGCUAUGCUACUUUCAGUGUGUCCCCUGUGUGCCCCAUUCAGAGAUUAAUCAGAGGCGGGCUGUGGUUCAGCUAUCACUUCAGUUCUCAAAGCCUUGGCCGUGCUGUUUUGGGUCUGACUGUGCGCGCCCUGUGCGGGGUCAUCAACAGAACUGUGGACUCCCCACCCCGCCCUGCCCCCGUAACUCUCCUCUCCACACUCUGGCCCACGAGGACCCCUUCUCUCAGCUCUCAAUCCAGAAAGCUGGAAAUAUUAUUUCAGUUUUAGCAGCCUCCAGGGCUGACCCUUUCCCAGCUCGGUGCUUGGGGCUGCCCUCAGGGCAAAGCUAUGAGAAAAGAGAAAAAGAGAGAGAGAGAGAGAGAGGGACAGGGAGAAAGAGAGAGAGAGAUCUGACAAAUUCAUUUCCUUGCAGGUCACUUCUCCGAGCUUCAAUUUCCAUCUCCAAUGUGCCUGCUUUGGCUGCAUUUUCAGGCUUCAGGGAGCGGCUUCUUGUAUUUUGUCCGGAGUUUUUAGAUGCAGUCUGCGACAGAGGUAAACCGUGGUGCCCUGCUAUGCCAGAGAUGAAGUCUAUUCAUGUGGAAAAGAACAUCUUCAAGGAGUUUGGAGAGAACAAAGAUGACAGCGGGAUGGGACAGAGUUGA
rnacentral:lncRNA from 1 species